rnacentral:rRNA from 1 species
CUGACCUCAAAUCAGGUAGGACUACCCGCUGAACUUAAGCAUAUCAAUAAGCGGAGGAAAAGAAACUAACAAGGAUUCCCCUAGUAACUGCGAGUGAAGCGGGAAAAGCUCAAAUUUAAAAUCUGGCGGUCUUUGGCCGUCCGAGUUGUAGUCUGGAGAAGCGUCUUCCGCGYUGGACCGUGUACAAGUCUCUUGGAACAGAGCGUCAUAGAGGGUGAGAAUCCCGUCUUUGACACGGACUACCAAUGCUUUGUGAUGCGCUCUCAAAGAGUCGCGUUGUUUGGGAAUGCAGCGCAAAAUGGGAGGUGAAUUCCUUCUAAAGCUAAAUAUUGGCGAGAGACCGAUAGCGAACAAGUACCGUGAGGGAAAGAUGAAAAGCACUUUGGAAAGAGAGUUAAACAGUACGUGAAAUUGCUAAAAGGGAAACGCUUGAAGUCAGUCGCGUCGUCCGGAACUCAGCUUUGCUUCGGCUUAGUGCACUUUCCGGUUGACGGGCCAGCAUCGAUUUUGACCGCUGGAAAAGGGCUGGAGGAAUGUGGCACCUUCGGGUGUGUUAUAGCCUUCAGUCGCAUACAGCGGUUGGGAUCGAGGAACGCAGCGCGCCUUAUGGCUGGGGUUCGCCCACAUUCGCGCUUAGGAUGCUGGCAUAAUGGCUUUAAACGACCCGUCUUGAAACACGGACCAAGGAGUCUAACAUGCCUGCGAGUGUUUGGGUGGAAAACCCGAGCGCGUAAUGAAAGUGAAAGUUGAGACCUCUGUCGUGGAGGGCAUCGACGCCCGGACCUGACGUUUUCUGAAGGAUCCGCGGUAGAGCAUGUAUGUUGGGACCCGAAAGAUGGUGAACUAUGCCUGAAUAGGGUGAAGCCAGAGGAAACUCUGGUGGAGGCUCGUAGCGAUUCUGACGUGCAAAUCGAUCGUCAAAUUUGG